rnacentral:rRNA from 1 species
UAAUACGGGGGGGGCAAGCGUUGUUCGGAAUUACUGGGCGUAAAGAGCUCGUAGGUGGCCGCUUUAGUCCGACGUGAAAUCCCUCGGCUCAACCGGGGAACUGCGUCGGAGACUGGGCGGCUUGAAUCCGGGAGAGGGACGUGGAAUUCCAGGUGUAGCGGUGAAAUGCGUAGAUAUCUGGAGGAACACCGGUGGCGAAGGCGGCGUCCUGGACCGGCAUUGACACUGAGGAGCGAAAGCCAGGGUAGCAAACGGG